UCUUAUGAAUGAGUAAGUAAAGUAGUUUCUUAAGAUAGAAUCUACUCAUGGUGAAGGUGUUGUGAA
rnacentral:pre_miRNA from 1 species